GCAAUGGUGGCCGAGUGGUCCAAGGCGGUAGAUUUAAGUUAUACUCGACAAACAACUCAUACUCUACUGGGGAAACCCGCGCGCGUUCGAACCGCGUCCAUUGCA